AGUGAACGCUGGCGGUAGGCCUAACACAUGCAAGUCGAACGGCAGCACAGUAAGAGCUUGCUCUUACGGGUGGCGAGUGGCGGACGGGUGAGGAAUACAUCGGAAUCUACUUUUUUGUGGGGGAUAACGUAGGGAAACUUACGCUAAUACCGCAUACGACCUACGGGUGAAAGCAGGGGAUCUUCGGACCUUGCGCGAUUGAAUGAGCCGAUGUCGGAUUAGCUAGUUGGCGGGGUAAAGGCCCACCAAGGCGACGAUCCGUAGCUGGUCUGAGAGGAUGAUCAGCCACACUGGAACUGAGACACGGUCCAGACUCCUACGGGAGGCAGCAGUGGGGAAUAUUGGACAAUGGGCGCAAGCCUGAUCCAGCCAUACCGCGUGGGUGAAGAAGGCCUUCGGGUUGUAAAGCCCUUUUGUUGGGAAAGAAAAGCAGCAGGUUAAUACCCCGCUGUUCUGACGGUACCCAAAGAAUAAGCACCGGCUAACUUCGUGC
rnacentral:rRNA from 1 species